AGUAGAUUGGGAAACUCUUCAAAUUAUUAUGAAAUACCGAGACAAGCUUUAGCCACUAAUGGCGGGCCUCGAGCCACGUCACCACGGUGACGGCGGCGUUCUCCCGCAAGGGGGAGCCGGAGGAUUACAAAGGUGGCAGGCACUCAAAUCCUGUCGUAUCGGAGUUUCAUCGCGUCCUUUGGUGCGGAUUUUA
rnacentral:sRNA from 1 species